ACGGAAGGCAGCAGUAGGGAAUCUUCGGCAAUGGGGGUAACCCUGACGGAGCAACGCCGCGUGAGUGAAGAAGGUUUUCGGAUCGUAAAGCUCUGUUGUAAGAGAAGAACGUGUGUGAGAGUGGAAAGUUCACACAGUGACGGUAACUUACCAGAAAGGGACGGCUAACUACGUGCCAGCAGCCGCGGUAAUACGUAGGUCCCGAGCGUUGUCCGGAUUUAUUGGGCGUAAAGCGAGCGCAGGCGGUUUAAUAAGUCUGAAGUUAAAGGCAGUGGCUUAACCAUUGUUCGCUUUGGAAACUGUUAGACUUGAGUGCAGAAGGGGAGAGUGGAAUUCCAUGUGUAGCGGUGAAAUGCGUAGAUAUAUGGAGGAGCACCGGUGGCGAAAGCGGCUCUCUGGUCUGUAACUGACGCUGAGGCUCGAAAGCGUGGGGAGCAAACAGGAUUAGAUACCCUGGUA
rnacentral:rRNA from 1 species